ACGAACGCUGGCGGCGUGCUUAACACAUGCAAGUCGAACGGUGAAGCGCUUGCCUUUUUGGUGGUGUGGAUGAGUGGCGAACGGGUGAGUAACACGUGAGUAACCUGCCCUCUUCUUCUGGAUAACCUCAUGAAAGUGGGGCUAAUACGGGGUAUUCCGGGUCUGUCGCAUGGCGGGUUUGGGAAAGAUUGCGCCUUUGGGUGUUUUCGGUGGGGGAUGGGCUCGCGGCCUAUCAGCUUGUUGGUGGGGUGAUGGCCUACCAAGGCGGUGACGGGUAGCCGGCCUGAGAGGGUGGACGGCCACACUGGGACUGAGACACGGCCCAGACUCCUGCGGGAGGCAGCAGUGGGGAAUAUUGCACAAUGGGCGCAAGCCUGAUGCAGCGACGCCGCGUGAGGGAUGGAGGCCUUCGGGUUGUGAACCUCUUUCGCCAGUGAAGCAGGCCUGCUCCUGUGUGGGUGGGUUGACGGUAGCUGGAUAAGAAGCGCCGGCUAACUACGUG
rnacentral:rRNA from 1 species